rnacentral:rRNA from 1 species
ACGGAAGGCAGCAGUGGAGAAUCUUGCACAAUGGGGGAAACCCUGAUGCAGCAACGCCACGUGUGGGAAGAAGCAUUUCGGUGUGUAAACCACUGUCGUGAGGGAAUAAGGCAUUGUUUCGGCGAUGUUGAAUGUACCUUGAAAGGAAGCACCGGCAAACUUCGUGCCAGCAGCCGCGGUAAUACGAGGGGUGCAAGCGUUGUUCGGAAUCACUGGGCGUAAAGGGAGCGCAGGCGGAGAUGCAAGCAGUCUGUACAAUACCGGGGCCCAACCCCGGACCUGCAGACUGGACUGUUUCUCUUGGAUAGCUCAGGGGCUGGCGGAAUUCCUGGUGUAGCGGUGGAAUGCGUAGAGAUCAGGAAGAACACCGAUGGCGAAGGCAGCCAGCUGGGGGCUUAUCGACGCUCAUGCUCGAAAGUGCGGGUAGCAAACAGGAUUAGAUACCCUGGUA